CCUUCGAUAGCUCAGUUGGUAGAGCGGUGGACUGUAGAGAGAGCGUUCGUUGAGAACGUCUGCGAGAGUAAUCCAUAGGUCACUGGUUCAAAUCCGGUUCGAAGGA
rnacentral:tRNA from 1 species